rnacentral:misc_RNA from 1 species
GAUGAAGAACGUAGCGAAUUGCGAUAUGUAAUGUGAAUUGCAGAAUUCAGUGAAUCAUUGAAUCUUUGAACGCACAUUGCACCCUCUGGUAUUCCGGAGGGUAUGCCUGUUUGAGUGCCAUUUAAUACGUCAACUCAGACCUGUUCUCCAGGACUUGCUCUGCUGCUUGGAUGCUGAAGGCUUGCUGGCAUUGAACUCAUGUCAGCUCCUUUUAAACUUAUUAGCAGGAACUAAUGCGGACAUGGGCUUCGGUUUGAUAAGAUUGAACUGCUGUCCCGGGAUGCUUUUCCAGCUUCUAGACGUCCAGUGCGCUGGACUGCCUCGCUUUUGAGGCAAUGACCAUUUGACAAUUUGGCCUCAAAUCAGGUAGGACUACCCGCUGAACUUAAGCAUAUCAAUAAGCGGAGGA